rnacentral:tRNA from 1 species
CAGGGAAUAGUUUAAAUAGAAUGUCAGCUUUGGGUGCUGAUGGUGGNGGUUUGUUCCUCUUCCUUGA